ensembl:lncRNA
AUGGGGCUGAGAAGCGGGAUCCCGACGUCCACAGGGGCCGCCGGACAGGUCUGUGUUCUGUGGCCUGCAGACAUUAUUUGGUUAGCACGUCAGUUUUUGCUGCAUCUCCAGUUACCCUUUACUCUGCUCCUCAGUUGUGGGCAGUCGCAGCCCUUGUAUGAGCCUGGGAAGACAGAGCAUGAGCUGUCUGAUGCCAGCUCCCCAGCACCACCUCUCGAGCACAGCAGCCUCAGGCACGCCGUUUUCCUUCCUAACCUUUGGCUUUCUAGUCUGUGGAAUGGGUGUGCAGCCCCAGUUGGCGUGUUGCCUUUCUCAUUAAGGGUCUGUUUUCAGGGUGAAGAGAACAGAGCCUGGAGGGUAAACGUGUGGCAGCUGUUACCGUCAGCAGCAAAGGGAGAAAACAGAAGACAGAAAAGGAAGGAGCACCUCUUGGGAGCAGAGGAAGUUGAAUGUUGGCAUGUGGCCAUUCCUCAUGGAACCCGAUUUGAGAAGCGGACCGUCAGCAGGAACUCUGGAGGCUGCUCGGACCUGUGCACCUCCCUCCAUGUCUCUGUUCACCUGUGCCUCACUCCUUCACGUUGCUGACCAGCUUUCUCGCUUUACUCUGUGAGCACGAGAAGGCUGGGCCUAACCUUGGCAGGUUUACUUUCCUCGUGUGAUGUGACUGGCUAUGUCUGAAUCCUAAUUCCAGACCCCGAGAGAGAGAAUCUGAUCAGAAAAAGUGUUUCCCUUGGUCAAGAAGAGGACCCUGGGGGAGGGAACCUCCCAGAGAAAAGAGGUGUCAUCUAGAAACAUCCCUUCAAUAUGAGUCCUUAUUUAUAGUAUUGUGUGUAUGCAGGCUCAGUCGGUCAAUCGUGUCUGACUCUUUGUGACCCCAUGGACUAUAGCCCGCCACGCUCCUCUGUCCAACGGGAUUUUCCAGAUGAGAAUAAUUUCUAGUGUUAUCCCCAUUCUAUAGAUGAGGAAAUUGAGACCCUGCUUUCCUCACCAAGGUCACAUAGCCACUCCUAACUUUUCUUCUAGAAUGAAGAUUGUUGUGAGGAAAUAAUUUUACUCUGAAAUAGAGAUCUGUGCUAUUCAAGUUGCAGCUGAUUUUAAGGAAGAGAUUUAUCUUUUAAUUGGAACAUAUUGUUGAGCAAUUUUUUUUUACUUUGUAAUUUUGUUAAAAGGAGACACACUUUCUCAAAAUAAAGUGAGAGUAAAUGAGAAUAAAAUGUUCAUAGCAAAGAGAAUGAUUCCUCAAAUAAUCUGGAUUAUAUGUCAUCAUGAAGUUCUGUGGUGUUUCCAUAUUUAAAAAAUAAAUGCAAGAAAUGAACAUGAAGGGAAUAACAGUUAUUUACAAAAAUCUAAGCCACACCAUUCACCCAGAGUUUGAAGUGUCCCAUGACUUUUUGUAAGGAACAAAUUCCUUAAAAACAAACCAGAACUGGAGCCAGGCAUGGAAUGGGACUUCUAGGGAGAAGCUGAAAGUGACCAGGAGUUCCAGAAGUGGUUGUGAGUUCACAGCAGGGUUUUCAAUCAAGUGCUGGGUGUUUUCAAGAUGACAAAGGACAGAGUCACGUUCAUGGCUGGAGAGCACUUUGGUGAGUGUGAGGAGAGAGCAGAACUGUUGUGGAAUCAUGUGUGUGUGUAAAUUUUUCCUUAAAGUCUACUCUGGAAAUCUGGGAGAAGGAGAAAAACUCUCCUUAUUUUGUCUCAUUCCUCCUGAUUUCUGAUCUGACUUUUCUUACAGUUUUGCAGUUUUUUCUUCCUUAAGCCAUUCCACCUGCUUCUCGCCCCUGAAGUACAGCAGUGGAGUCUUCCCAGCUUGAGGGUAUUUCUCUCUUCUGGACUGGACCAUAUUUUGAUUUCUUUUUAAAUUCAAAGGAAACCACCAAUGAGAUGGCAGCUUCGAAACCACAUGAGACAGGACAGAUUUUAAGAGUUUUCUCAUUUCUUUUUUUUUUUUUUUCCUUUUUAAAAUUUAAUUUAAUUUUAUUUUAUUUUUCAACUUUACAAUAUUGUAUUGGUUUUGCCAAGGACACCUGAACCAAAGACGCCACGCUCUCCACCCCCAGCCAUCUGCCUGGAGUCAUCUCAGAAGUCCUGUGUGCUCUGCUUGUCUCGUUCCUGCCGUGGAGAGGUUGCUGGUGGUCUCUGGGCCCAUUCUUUGUAGGCGCUGCCAGGUUCCCUUCCAGCAACUGGGAAAGGGGGACAUAGGUUCCUUUCCCUGGGGCAGAUGGGGCCCAGGAAGAUCCAUCAAGUGACGACUUGAUUCAUCCCACCCUCUCCUUCCC